CCAGUCGAGCAGGGGUUAAGGAUCGUGCCCUGCCAGCUGGUCAGGUGACAGGAAGGGAAGGCCAGAACCAUGCAAACCUCAAGUGGAGAAGGCGAGGAGGGCAGCAGAGAGGGAGAUUCCCAAUGACUGCAGAGCAGCUGUGGCAGCCUCCUUCAGAGGAAUACGCCGCGCUGUGAGACAGAAGCACGAUCACAUGCUCUGAUGCUCGAGAGGACUGUACUGCUAGUCCUAAAGGGUCCACAGAAUCAGAACUGCAAAGAACACGGCGUUCUUAGGAAAGCAUCUGCUUAGGUCACGUCAGUGCUUCCAGAGUACCUUCCCCAGAAAUUGGAGACUCAUGCAUCCCAGCCUUCAGCCUUGCUUUUGGCAUCCUCCUCUGAUGUAUGAUGAGUCAUCAGAGAACGCUGCUUAGGACUGCAGAUAUGAAAUCUAAGCUCCCCUCCAGGUCUGCUUCUUGUAAGUUAGAUUUUGGGAACCUUUUCUUCUGUAACUUCCAGCCUCCCAGGAUCAGAUAUGUAAGGAAGGAAAAGGAGGAAGGAAGUGACUUCAUCAAGGCUGCACAGCAAAUAAGUUGCAGGACCAGAAUUAGGAUUCAAGCCUUCCUACUUUCCCAUCGUGGGUUCAUUCCUCCAGAUCACCUGGCCUUUUGUAAGAAUGAUGGAAUAUGAGAAGCUGGCUAAAUGUGGAAAAAUUAAACCACCAGCAUUCCACACUGGUCUGUUACAGAAGGGAAAGAAACAAGUGCAGAGAUAUUCCAUCAGUGAGGCCUUUGCUACAAAUCCCUUCUCACCUCGCUAUCAGCAGUAGGAUUCAAUAAUGGUGAAUUGACCUUAUUCCCUGCCUCCCCUGCCCCCCCCCCCUUUAUUCUUUGUGAUGAGGAAGUUUGAUCACUCCUUGCUGACAGUAAAAGAAACUUGGAAUGUGACAAGAUAAUGCUAUCUCCACUUUACCACCAUAAUAAAAGCCAAGCAAGCUCACAUUAUACACAGGAGCCCAUUUCAGCAACACAAACUCACCCACUUAUUUUGCAAGAUGAUAGCAUUUAGAGUUUGAAUCAAACAGAGCAGAAACUUAAUAGUAUUCUUUGUAUAGUAUUAUUUAUCUGCCCAAGACUAGUCAGCUGAAAUAAUCUAAGAUUUUCACUAUUUCUUCUGUCCUGAUAGUGUAUUUACAAUAGUAUGCUGAUACAACAAAUGUGAUUCCCCAUUUCAAAAGCACCUGCAGUUGUCAUUGAUAAGAAAGGCAGGUUGCUUGAAUUCCUGAAGCACUUUCCUGUUUAUAAUAGCCUGCAGUACCUUUCAAUUUAACAUAUCGUUAGUGACAGCUUCUAGAGACAGGCAAGAGGAUAGAAUUUGGGGAAUGUGAAUUCUUUUUUUUUUUUUAUAUCUCAGACUGUCACAAGCAGUGCCAUAAUGCAAAAUGGAAUUACAGCUGCAUGUAAAUAUCCAUUUCUGAUGGAUGUAGCAAGUGUCCAUAAAGAGACCUGACAGUGCUGCUUUAUGUAGCUGAAACCACUAAGGUACCAUCAGGGAGAGGUAUAUUCAGUUCAGUAAUGUGAAUUUUAGCUUCUCUGACCAUGUUUGUUAUGUAAAAUAUUUUUGAUCCAACUAAGAUUCAUGUAGAAGCAAUAUGAUAGUAGCAUAAAGGAAUGGAUGACAUAAUGUAUGAGAUUUA